rnacentral:rRNA from 1 species
UACGUAGGUGGCAAGCGUUGUCCGGAUUUACUGGGCGUAAAGGGCGUGCAGGCGGUUUGUUAAGUGCAGGGUGAAAGCUCCCGGCUCAACUGGGAGAGGUCCUUGCAUACUGGCAAACUCGAGGGAGGCAGAGGAAAGUGGAAUUCCCGGUGUAGUGGUGAUAUGCGUAGAUAUCAGGAAGAACACCGAUGGCGAAGGCAGUGGGCUGGGCCGGUACUGACGCUGAGGAGCGAAAGCGUGGGGAGCGAACAGG